rnacentral:rRNA from 1 species
UACGUAGGCAGCAAGCGUUGUUCGGAGUUACUGGGCGUAAAGGGUGUGUAGGCGGUUUUUUAAGUUUGGUGUGAAAUCUCCCGGCUCAACUGGGAGGGUGCGCCGAAUACUGAGAGGCUAGAGUGCGGGAGAGGAAAGUGGAAUUCCUGGUGUAGCGGUGAAAUGCGUAGAUAUCAGGAGGAACACCGGUGGUGUAAACGGCUUUCUGGACCGUAACUGACGCUGAGGCACGAAAGCGUGGGUAGCAAACAGG